rnacentral:rRNA from 1 species
GCUCAGUAACACGUGGAUAACAUGCCCUGAAGUGGAGGAUAAUCUCGGGAAAUUGAGGAUAAUACUCCAUAGAUCAUAGGAUCUGGAAUGACUUAUGGUCGAAAGUUCCGGCGCUUCAGGAUUGGUCUGCGGCCUAUCAGGUCGUAGUGGGUGUAACGGACCCACUAGCCGACGACGGGUAUGGGCCUUGAGAGAGGGAGCCCAGAGAUGGAUUCUGAGACACGAAUCCAGGCCCUACGGGGCGCAGCAGUCGCGAAAACUUCACACUGGAGGCGACUCCGAUGAGGGAAUUCCUAGUGCUGUUACAUUAGUAGCAGCUUUUCUUAAGCGCAGAUAACUUAAGGAAUAAGGGCUGGGUAAGACGGGUGCCAGCCGCCGCGGUAAUACCCGCAGCCCAAGUGGUGGUCGAUUUUAUUGAGUCUAAAACGUUCGUAGCCGGUUUGGUAAAUCCUUGGGUAAAUCGAGAGGCUUAACCCUUCGAAUUCCGAGGAGACUGCCAAGCUUGGGACCGGGAGAGGCGAGAGGUACUUCUGGGGUAGGGGUAAAAUCCUGUAAUCCUGGAAGGACCACCGGUGGCGAAGGCGUCUCGCUAGAACGGAUCCGACGGUGAGGGACGAAGCCCUGGGUCGCAAACGGGAUUAGAUACCCCGGUAGUCCAGGGUGUAAACGCUGCAGACUUGGUGUUGGGGGCCC